rnacentral:lncRNA from 1 species
AGAUAGAGAUAUAUAUGUAACAACAUUAGCAUAGAACAAAGCUUUACCAAACUAAUCAUGCAGGUCCUCAUUAUUUUACAGCUCCAAGUGCAAAAACCUCCAUCAAAAGUGGAAGGAAGGAAGAAAGUAAUUUAUCGGAGGACAAAUUACAUAAGCAGGAGACCAGUAUUGAAGAAGGAAAAUUCUUGCCACCAAUCGGAAACAAAUAAUCACGAUUGUGAUUGGAACAUAAAUAUGAUAAAUGUGCUUACUGUGUAUAUGAUUAUGAUUGAGAGCUGUAUUAACUUGAUAACUGUGAUGACUUUUGAUAUGGUUGUGAUUGAAAAGGAACAAAUAUGAUAUUUAUGAUUUUUAUGAUUGUUAUGAUUGAAAAGAAAACUGAUAUUUAUGAUUUUUAUGAUUGUUAUGAUUAUUAUUUAUGAUAAUUGUUAUUACUUUAAUUGUUAUGGUUGAGUUGUUAUAGAGCAGCAGGAAUAUGUUCAGAAUUAUAAUUGAUGGUAAAAGAUAUAAGUCUUAGUUUUAAAAGUAUCUUUUUUUUUCCAUUUGUGAAUGUUUAAAGAGUUUUAAUCAAAUUGACAGUCCUCAGCUUCAAGAGAAUUAAAAAAUAUCUGUAAAAGAAUAAUGAACCAUGAAAAAAAAAGACCAAGAAAAAAUCAAAAUAGAUUACAUUCAUGACACAACUUUAGUCAUUAAAAGUCACUCAAAAAAAUGGCUAAUAUAGCAGUGCAGACAUUAUUUUUUUUAGUUCAGAAAAUUUAUGUGACGAUUCAUUAAUAAGCAAAUUUGAUGGAAAUCAGAUCACAUUAUUUUUAACUUUUAUUUAUUCCAAUCUUGCAUAAAAUAAAAGAUGAUUCAGAAUUGUUUACAUUUAUAACACAGAUUUUUUCGGUUAUCAUUGAUAGAUGCUGGUUAAUUAUUUUUUUUAAAUAUCUGAUAAUUGUAACUGCUAUAAAAUUAAAUUGCUAGUCAAAUUCAAGUUUCUCCAUUUAAUUAUCAGGAUUUCGUUUGAUUUUGAUAUCUUUGAAACAAGUUAAAAUCCAACUUUCUCACCAAACUUCCAUUGAAUUCAGAGGACAUUACAAAAUUCUUGAAUUCUUUUAUCAUCACUUAUAAGAGUAUGAAUGUGUGAAUGAUAAAUUGUUAUUGUUAUUUCGUCUCUCAUAUUUAUUUUUUGAUUUUUACAAAGUAUAUUUUAACAGUCAUGUCGAAUCCGUCCAGUUGAAUUUUUUCUAUAGAAAAGGACAGUACUUUUUUUUUUAUAUCUAAUCCAUUUUUAAAGGAUAUAUUUUAACAGUCAUGUUGAAUCUGACCAGCUGAAUUUUCCUAUAGAAUUUCUUUUUGAUUUUAACUCUAAUGAUUUUUUUGGGCUGUAGAUCAAUCCACAAGGAGAGUUAAUUUUAUAGAGGUCAUCGUCUAUUUUGAAAUUCAAAUUCAACGAUUCAUAUAGUGAGUAAAUCUAAUAUUAUUUGGUACUUUUUGUUUUGAUUUACUUCCAGAAUGAAAAUUCAUUUCGAUUAACUUUUGCAUCAAGAUUGUUGAAAACUCUGGUUUUUGUUAAGUUUUCAAUGAAUUUAGAUUCAUCCACGAAAUUCCAAUUUUAGUUGAAGGAUGUCAAGCAUAACACCCAACUACAGUGUAUAUCUUGCUGUAAAUUUUUAUCCCAACCAAAAUGGUGCCUGGUGGACAUACCAGUAGUUUAUCCAUUAAAAACUUGAUAAACAAGACAAACGUGCCUAUUAGAAUAUUAAAGUUUGUUGUAUGAGAUAAGUCAUGGUUAUGUAUUUUUCUUUAAAGUUUCGAUAAGUUACGCUUAUUAUUAUUUUCAGGUUCUCAGUAAUUUUGUAGAUGCAUAUAGUAUUUAAAGUUUCAUACUGAACUUUAAAUGAUCAAAUUUAUGAAAAAGAAAGGCCAUUUUUGAAGAAAAAUAGGCAAGCCAAGUUUAGAAAAGAAAAAUAUACUAUCAAUAUUUAAGGCUGACAUUUUUUUUAUUGUUAUCCUUUUAUUUUUUUAUUUUUUUGCAUGCUUGCUUGCUUUUAUCGUUUUAUUUGAUAAGGGAUUUUAGAAUAAAUAAACCAUAACCAAUAAUCUUGAUGACUUUCUGAAGUAUUUGAAAAGUAAUAUUUAAUGUUUUAUACUCGCAUGUUAUCCUAGGUCAUAUGAAACUUGAUCAUUUGUGAUUUCUUAAGAACAAAAAAAUCUGUACAAAUACAUCACACAGAUAAAAGAUGACCUCAAUUUAUCAGGAUUUUAAUUUUCACAGGCAAAUAUGGUUCUAAAAGGCAAAAAAAAAAAUGAACCAAGUGAAGGUUAUUCUUUCAUUCUUUCAUUCUUUUAUUUAUUAUUUUAAAUAGCUUUUGUUUUUAUAUCUCAAUAUUUAUAUUUUAUUUGUUUUAAUGUGUUAUGUUUCAUGUGUACUGAACUAGUCACUUUGAUUAAUUAAACAGACAAUCAAAUGUUACUAAAUUGUCUCCCCUUAAUAAUCAAAUUUAUUGUCUCCCUUUAAUAAUCAAAAUUAUUGUCUGCCUUUAAUAAUCAAAAUUAUUGUCUUCCUUUGAAAAUCAAAAUUAUUGUCUCCCUUUAAUAAUCAAAUUUACUUUCUCUUUUGUUAAACUUAGAUAUCUGUUCUUCAUUUAUUUAGUUGCAUAUAUGGUACAAUCUCUUCAUCAGUAACAGAACAGUUGUGUACUAACAGGUAGAUUUUUUUAUCUCAGCAGGCAUAAAUGAGAAAGAUUCAUUAAAAAUUUUAUAAAUUUUUAUUUUCAGGUUGUAUGGCACCUAUAUACAAUCUUGCAAUCGUAUAAAAAAAAAUGUCAAAAUGAACUUUUUUUUUAUAAAAUACAAGAGAAUAAUUCCUUUAUAACUAAGCAGGAACAUUUUGCUGUAAAAUUAGAAAAUACACUGAAAAUUUUAAGAUAUACAGACCAUAUUCUCUAUACUAAAAGAAACUAAACCAUA